rnacentral:rRNA from 1 species
UACGGAGGGUGCAAGCGUUGUCCGGAUUUAUUGGGUUUAAAGGGUGCGUAGGUGGUUUGUUAAGUCUGGUUUGAAAGCUGGUCGCUCAACGAUCAGAUUUGGCUGGAAACUGGCGAACUUGAAUGGGGUGGCGGCUGCCGGAACGGGUCAUGUAGCGGUGAAAUGCAUAGAUAUGACCCAGAACCCCGAUUGCGAAGGCAGGCAGCUACGACCAGCAUUGACACUGAGGCACGAGAGCAUGGGGAGCGAACAGG